AUUGUAGCCCACAUACAGUGGAAUUAUAAUUGUCUAAGACCUUUGGACACUAUACCUAACAAAAGAUCUAGAGAGUAGUCAAGUAAGAAGUUCUCUGCGUAGAACUUGAAAUAGACAAACACAGUUAAAGUUGUGAUAACUAUAAGUACUGUAGGUUUAUCUAUGUAAACUACCCACAAGGACAACAGAAAAGAUUGUUAGGUAUAACCGUUAAGCAUAAAUUUGAGAGAGUAUAUAAUUGGAGAUUUGUUUUUGCAAAUAACUGAAGACUAGGUAGUUAAGCCAGUUCAUAAUAGCAUAAUCAAAAACAAACAGAAAUCUGGCUGCUGAUGUUUGCUCAAUAAUGUCAGACAGUCAUCCCUGCAGUUCUUUUGUCUCUUCUCUCUUAAUUGCAGUGUGACUUUUACAUACCAGAUAUCAAAAUUCAAAUUUAAGAGAAGAAAAGGAGCUGGAUCAGAGACAUUCUUUCUCUCCUUAAUUGAGAAAACAAAUAUGUUCUCUAUACUGUGUAUUGUCCUAAACUUCUUCAUGCAUCAUUUCAGUCUUCUUAACAACCGUUUGAGCAGGAAGUAAAACUAUCUCCAUUUAUCAGGAUUGUAGACAUGCCUCAUAUUACCCAGUGAAGAUAUGAAAAUGAGUUAUUUUUGACAAAUGGAAGAGACUAGCUGAAUAUAGUUUAUGACAGCUUAGAAAGAAGUGUACUAAAGAAAGUAAGAGGAGGAGUUCAAAGAGGAUAGCUCCUGCUUAUAGUAUACCUAGUAUUAGACAGGCACUGAGCCAUGCCUUACCUGCAAUAUCAAAAUUAAUCUACCCAAUAACUUUAUGAAAUAUAUACUGUUUUUAUCUCCUUUCUAUGGAUGAUUAAAUGGAGGCAAAAAUUAGAGAUUAAAAACUUACUUAAAUACUUAGCUCAGAAUUUGCAAGAUCAAAGUUGGAAUUCUGUCAGUUUAGCUUUAGAG
rnacentral:lncRNA from 1 species